rnacentral:tRNA from 1 species
GCCCCCAUAGCUUAAUUGGUAAAGCACCGGUCUCUUAAACCGAGGAGUCCAGGUUCGAGUCCUGGUGGGGGCACAA